rnacentral:rRNA from 1 species
UGGGGAAUAUUGCACAAUGGGCGGAAGCCUGAUGCAGCGACGCCGCGUGGGGGAUGAAGGCCUUCGGGUUGUAAACUCCUUUCGACAGGGACGAAGCUUUUGUGACGGUACCUGUAUAAGAAGCACCGGCUAACUACGUGCCAGCAGCCGCGGUAAUACGUAGGGUGCGAGCGUUGUCCGGAAUUACUGGGCGUAAAGAGCUCGUAGGUGGUUUGUCGCGUCGUCUGUGAAAUUCCGGGGCUUAACUCCGGGCGUGCAGGCGAUACGGGCUGACUUGAGUGCUGUAGGGGAGACUGGAAUUCCUGGUGUAGCGGUGAAAUGCGCAGAUAUCAGGAGGAACACCGAUGGCGAAGGCAGGUCUCUGGGCAGUAACCGACGCUGAGGAGCGAAAGCAUGGGUAGCGAACAGG